rnacentral:tRNA from 1 species
GAUUAAAAUUUUUUUAGAA